AACGCACCGAAAGGUGUGCUAAUACCGCAUGAGACCACAGGACCGCAUGGUCAAGGGGUCAAAGAUUUAUCGGUGAUAGAUGGGCUCGCGUCUGAUUAGGCCAAGUUUGGGUGAGGUUAAACGGGCCCCACCAAGGCGACGAUCAGUAGCCGACCUGAGAGGGUGAUCGGGCCACAUUGGAACUGAGAAACGGGUCCAAACUCCUACGGGAGGCAGCAGUGGGGAAUAUUGGGCAAUGGGCGCAAGCCUGACCCAGCAACGCCGCGUGAAGGAAGAAGGUCUUCGGGUCGUAAACUUCUAUCCUUGGUGAAGAUAAUGACGGUAGCCAAGAAGGAAGCCCCGGCUAACUACGUG
rnacentral:rRNA from 1 species